rnacentral:rRNA from 1 species
UACGUAGGGUGCGAGCGUUGUCCGGAAUUACUGGGCGUAAAGAGCUCGUAGGUGGUUUGUCGCGUUGUUCGUGAAAUCUCACGGCUUAACUGUGAGCGUGCGGGCGAUACGGGCAGACUAGAGUACUGCAGGGGAGACUGGAAUUCCUGGUGUAGCGGUGGAAUGCGCAGAUAUCAGGAGGAACACCGGUGGCGAAGGCGGGUCUCUGGGCAGUAACUGACGCUGAGGAGCGAAAGCGUGGGGAGCGAACAGGAUUAGAUACCCUGGUAGUCC